rnacentral:tRNA from 1 species
UGCGGGAUGGCUGAGAUGUAAGCGGAAGAUUGUAGCUCUUUUGACGGAGGGAGUCCUUCUCCCGUAA